UACGGGGGGGGGCAAGCGUUGUUCGGAAUUACUGGGCGUAAAGGGCUUGUAGGCGGCCAACUAAGUCCGACGUGAAAUCCCCAGGCUUAACCUGGGAACUGCGUCGGAUACUGGAUGGCUUGAAUCCGGGAGAGGGAUGCGGAAUUCCAGGUGUAGCGGUGAAAUGCGUAGAUAUCUGGAGGAACACCGGUGGCGAAGGCGGCAUCCUGGACCGGCAUUGACGCUCAAGCGCGAAAGCCAGGGGAGCAAACGGG
rnacentral:rRNA from 1 species